rfam:Bacillus vietnamensis strain TCD-SED5 scaffold_7, whole genome shotgun sequence.
UGGGAAUGUCUCCUUGCCAUUAUCCAUGGAGGCACUCGGUCACGCCGUGGGUGAAGAGAAACUUUGCCUUAGACGCACGUCGUCAAUGGUUGGAUGUGAGGAAGGGUUAGAUGCCCA